rfam:Mesorhizobium amorphae CCNWGS0123 contig00268, whole genome shotgun sequence.
GGCAAGGGGUUCAUCGCGAUGACCCCGUGAGGCGUCAGCCCAACGAUCGCGUCCAAGCUCUCUUUUCCUGGAGGUGGACGCCAUG